AACGAACGCUGGCGGCAGGCUUAACACAUGCAAGUCGAACGGUUGUAGCAAUACAGCAGUGGCAGACGGGUGAGUAACACGUGGGAACCUUCCUAGGGGUACGGAACAACUCAGGGAAACUUGAGCUAAUACCGUAUACGUCCGUGAGGAGAAAGAUUUAUCGCCCCUAGACGGGCCCGCGUAGGAUUAGGUAGUUGGUGAGGUAACGGCUCACCAAGCCUACGAUCCUUAGCUGAUCNGAGAGGAUGAUCAGCCACACUGGGAC
rnacentral:rRNA from 1 species